UAGGGAAUCUUCGGCAAUGGGGGGAACCCUGACCGAGCAACGCCGCGUGAGUGGAGAAGGUUUUCGGAUCGUAAAGCUCUGUUGUUAAGGAAGAACGAGUGUGAGAAUGGAAAGUUCAUACUGUGACGGUACUUAACCAGAAAGGGACGGCUAACUACGUGCCAGCAGCCGCGGUAAUACGUAGGUCCCGAGCGUUGUCCGGAUUUAUUGGGCGUAAAGCGAGCGCAGGCGGUUAGAUAAGUCUGAAGUGAAAGGCAGUGGCUCAACCAUUGUAGGCUUUGGAAACUGUUUAACUUGAGUGCAGAAGGGGAGAGUGGAAUUCCAUGUGUAGCGGUGAAAUGCGUAGAUAUAUGGAGGAACACCGGUGGCGAAAGCGGCUCUCUGGUCUGUAACUGACGCUGAGGCUCGAAAGCGUGGGGAGCGAACAGG
rnacentral:rRNA from 1 species